UAGCUCAGCUGGUUAGAGCACCACCUUGACAUGGUGGGGGUCGUUGGUUCGAGUCC
rnacentral:tRNA from 1 species